rnacentral:rRNA from 1 species
GAGUUUGAUCCUGGCUCAGGAUGAACGCUGGCGGCGUGCCUAACACAUGCAAGUCGAACGAAGCAUCAUAAAGGAAGUUUACGGAUGGAAUUUAAGAUGACUGAGUGGCGGACGGGUGAGUAACGCGUGGAUAACCUGCCUCAUACAGGGGGAUAACAGCUAGAAAUGGCUGCUAAUACCGCAUAAGCGCACAGUGCCGCAUGGCAGAGUGUGAAAAACUCCGGUGGUAUGAGAUGGAUCCGC